GGAGUUGUAGCUCAGUGGUAGAGUGCUCACCUAGCACAGGUGAGACCCUGGGUUCAAUUCUCAGCACCA
rnacentral:tRNA from 1 species